rnacentral:rRNA from 1 species
UAGGGAAUUUUCGGCAAUGGACGAAAGUCUGACCGAGCAACGCCGCGUGAGUGAAGAAGGUUUUCGGAUCGUAAAACUCUGUUGUUAGAGAAGAACAAGGACGUUAGUAACUGAACGUCCCCUGACGGUAUCUAACCAGAAAGCCACGGCCAACUACGUGCCAGCAGCCGCGGUAAUACGUAGGUGGCAAGCGUUGUCCGGAUUUAUUGGGCGUAAAGCGAGCGCAGGCGGUUUCUUAAGUCUGAUGUGGAAGCCCCCGGCUCAACCGGGGAGAGUCAUUGGAAACUGGGAGACUUGAGUGCAGGAGAGGUGAGUGGAAUUCCAUGUGUGGCGGUGAAAUGCGUAGAUAUAUGGAGGAACACCAGUGGCGAAGGCGGCUGUCUGGUCUGUAACUGACGCUGAGGCUCGAAAGCGUGGGGAGCGAACGGG